UACGAAGGGGGCUAGCGUUGCUCGGAAUUACUGGGCGUAAAGCGCACGUAGGCGGUUUCUUAAGUCGGGGGUGAAAUCCUGGAGCUCAACUCCAGAACUGCCUUCGAUACUGGGAAACUUGAGUCCGGGAGAGGUGAGUGGAACUGCGAGUGUAGAGGUGAAAUUCGUAGAUAUUCGCAAGAACACCAGUGGCGAAGGCGGCUCACUGGCCCGGUACUGACGCUGAGGUGCGAAAGCGUGGGGAGCAAAGCAGG
rnacentral:rRNA from 1 species